CCUCUCAUUUUUUCCGGCCAACGACCACCGGAGGUCGCCCCAGGUAAGUUGGCAGCACCUCUCUCUCCUCUUCUCUCUCGCUCUCUCUCCCUCUCUCUCCCUCUCCUUUUCUCCAACAGCUCAGUUUCUCUCUCUCUUCUCUCUCUCUUCCUCUCCUCUCCUUCUACUGCUUUCCACAACCACUGCAGACCCGUACCACCAUUGUAGGGUUUGGGUUUGGGUGGUUUCGCUCCUCCCCCUAGCCUUCUCUUUUCAUUUCCCCUUUUUUGGGCUUUCUUUUGGUCCCGCAUUACAGGUGGAAUCCGAGCAGCAGUCGCGGCGAACAUAACUCCGGCACGGGCGACCAGCGACAGUGUUUCGGCAGCAGCAGAAGCACUACUUAGCAACUAUUGCAGGUUCUGUCCAGCCUGGAGUUGGUACCUCCGGCUAUAGUUAAUUUUUCUGGUUUCUAUUUUCCGCUUGUAUAGUGUUGGUGCCACCUUAGCUCGACCUUUAUUAUAGUGGCUGCGGUGGAUGAUGGUAGAGUAAGGUCAUGUCCUCAGGGGGGAGGAGGG